rnacentral:tRNA from 1 species
GACGGCGUAGCUCAGUUGGCAGAGCAUUGGGCUAGUAUUCCAAAGGUCGUAGGUUCGAUUCCUACCGUUGCCA